CCUACGGGCGGCAGCAGUGAGGAAUAUUGGUCAAUGGGCGCGAGCCUGAACCAGCCAAGUAGCGUGAAGGAUGACUGCCCUACGGGUUGUAAACUUCUUUUAUAAAGGAAUAAAGUGAGGCACGUGUGCCUUUUUGUAUGUACUUUAUGAAUAAGGAUCGGCUAACUCCGUGCCAUCAGCCGCGGUAAUACGGAGGAUCCGAGCGUUAUCCGGAUUUAUUGGGUUUAAAGGGAGCGUAGAUGGGUUGUUAAGUCAGUUGUGAAAGUUUUCGGCUCAACCGUAAAAUUGCAAUUGAUACUGGCAGUCUUGAGUACAGUUGAGGUAGGCGGAAUUCGUGGUGUAGCGGUGAAAUGCUUAGAUAUCACGAAGAACUCCGAUUGCGAAGGCAGCUUACUAAACUGCCACUGACAUUGAUGCUCGAAAGUGUGGGUAUCAAACAGGAUUAGAUACCCGAGUAGUC
rnacentral:rRNA from 1 species